AUAAAAAUUAACCUUCCGUCUUCAAUAGAGAACCCUAAUUUGUUAAAUCCCUAAAACAUUCACUCUCCAAUUGUUCUUGUGCUGUUGACUGUGAGUCUACGACUGCCAUUGUGCCUCGCCUCCCUUCUUAGUUCUCUCCUCUCUUUUCUUUUCUUAUUCCUCCCUAGUCUUUGCCUUGUGUUGCCGUCCUUAUCAGUUGCCUUCGUCAUGAGUUGCUGUUGUCCCUUAGAAGUCCAUUCGAUGCUAGCGCCACCCUGUUGCUGAAGUGGGUAUUGUUUUGAAAAGUUUAUGGAGUGUGGAUUAAAGAUUUUUGGCCUCACCGAAUCACCUUCACUUGCCUUCCAAAAUUACCUAUCUUGCCACCAUUUACUCCAAAUGGAUUCUUUUAGUGGGCAAGAAGAUCCAAAAACUAAAAGUACUACUGAUUCUAAUCAAAGUGAAGCUGAGGCUGCAGAUACAUCUAAUUCAAAAUCAAAAUAAAAAAGAAGUUGUGAAGCGAAAGCCAAUUAGACCAAGGUCUCUAGUUUAGGAUCACUUCACCAAGUUCACAAAUACUAAGGGCGAAAUUAAAGGCAAGUGUAAUUAUUGUAGCAAAGAAUUUUGUUGUGAUCCAAAGAAAAAUGGAACAACUGCACUUAGGAAUCACAUGAAUGCAUGCAAAAAGCAUCCACAUGCCAUUGAGACUAAGCAAACACAAUUAGCUUUGCAACCAAAUUCAUUUGAUGAAGUUUUAGGGGAUGUAAGCACACUUUCUACUUAGAAAUAUGAUGAAGAUGCAAUUAGGGAAGCUCUUGUUCAAAUGAUUAUAAUUGAUGAAUUUUCUUUUAGAUUUGUUGAUGAUGAGGGAUUUAGAAGAUUCAUGAGACCAUAUGUCCUAGGUUUAGGAUUCCCUCUUGUUGGACUAUUUCAUGGGAUUGUUAUCAAAUGUUUAUUGAGGAGAGGACAAGAUUGAAGUCUUUUUCAAGAGAAAUUGUCAAAGAGUGAGUCUUACUAUAGAUACAUGGACAUCAUUAUAGAGAAUAAAUUAUAUGUGUGUCACUGCUCACUUUAUUGACAAGGAUUGGAAGUUGCAUAAGAGAAUUAUUAAUUUUUGUCCUAUUUUUAGUCAUAAAGGUGAUGCCAUUGUUAGGUCAAUUCAAACUUGCUUGCUAGAAUGGGAUUUAGAUAAGAUAUUCACUAUUACAUAGACAAUGCAAGUUCAAAUGAUGAAGCAAUCUCUUAUUUGAAAAAGAAGCUUGCCAAUUGGGGUGUUAGUGUUGCUAAUUCUACUUACCUUCAUAUGAGGUGUAUGGCACAUAUCAUUAAUUUGGUUGUCAUGGAUGGAUUAAAAGUUGUUUGUGAGUCAGUGAUGAAGGUUAGGGAUGCAGUAAGAUACAUUAGGAGUUCUCCAGCUAGGUUGAAAAAGUUUAAGCAGUGUGUUGAAUAUGAAAAAAUUGAAGGCAAGGCUUUUUUGUAUUUAGAUGUGCCUACUAGGUGGAAUUCAACUUACUUAAUGUUGAAUACAACACAAAAAUAUGGAAGGGCAUUUGAGAGGUAUGAGUCACAAGAACCUAUGUUCAAGCUUAACAUUAGAGAGAAUGGGAUGCCUAAUUUUUAUGAUUGGUCUCAAGUUAAGGAAAUAACUGAUAUGUUGUCUCAUUUUUAUGAGUUAACUUUACGUAUUUCGAGUUCUCGUUAUGUCACAUCCAACAUGUUCUUUAGUGAGAUGAGUGACCUAACUUUUAUAUUAAACUAAUGGAUGGGUAGUAAUGAUAUUGAGAUGAAAUCUAUGGGGGAAAGAAUGAGGGUCAAAUUUGACAAGUACUGGAGAGGUGUAGAUAAAAUGAAUAAACUUAUUUAUUUUGCCAUUAUUCUUGACCCUCAUGAUAAACUUGAGUAUAUGGAGUAUUUAUUUUGCCAAAUGUACGGUAAGGAAAAUGGUGUAGAGUUGUUCCAGAAGGUGAAAACAUUAAUGAAUGAAUUGUUUAAUGAGUACAAGAGAAUGUACCAAUCUGAUGUCAAACACUCAAGUGAUAAUAGUUCAUAGAUCUCAAUUGGUGGUACAGGCUCUUCUGUAAGUCUUAAGCUAAUUUUUAUUUUGAAAUAUCACUAUAAGAAGCAAAAGUUGGAGGUUCUUGGUGGUGCAGAUUCAAAAACAGAGUUAGAAGUGUAUCUAAGUGAGGCUAUCCAAGAGGACAAAGAAGAUUUUGAUAUCCUUAAAUGGUGGAAGAUUAAUUCUGAGAGAUUUCCUAUCCUAGGAAAAAUGGCAAGAGACAUAUUGGAUGUUUUAGUUUCAACAGUUGCUUCAGAGCGUGCUCUCAGUACUGGUGGGAGAGUGCUUGAUGCCUUUAGGAGUUCUUUGAUUCCGAAAAUUGUGGAGGGCUUGAUAUGUGCAUAAGAUUAGCUUCGUUCAUUAAAUAGACCAAUAAGUUUUGAGGAAGAUUUAGAAGAACUUGAAAAGCUUGAAAAGGGUAUGAAAUUAAUUUAUUAAAUAUUUCAAUUUUAUUGUUUCAUAUUUUCUUUUGGAUAUAGAGUUUCCUUGUUGGCUAAAACACUUCAAUUUUCAGUGUUGCUACUUAUUGGAAUUACACAUGGUUUAGGAGGAUCAAGUUCUACCCCUACUCCUAACUAUUAAAUGUUUCAAAUAGGCAUGGAAUUGUUAGACUGCUCUUGACCUCUUAUGAUUUUGUGUUUUGCAUGGAUUUUAAUCCAUUAUAAACUUUUAUUUUGCAUUGCAUUUUAAUCUAUUAUGGCCUGCUCUUGACCUCUAUGUAAUGUGUGGUGUUUUAAUGUGUGAAUCUUAAAUAUAGAAAUGUCAAAUGUGUUAUGUGUGUGGACUUUUAUCACUUUAUAAAGUGAUGUUUGCUGUUUUUAUGGACUUUUAUGUAUUUUGGAUUAUAAUUUCAUGGUACAUUUUAUUUAGAAUGGAUUGACAAUUUUACGGACUUA